UACUAGAGUAGCACUCGCAUAUCAAUAAGCGGAGGAAAAGAAACUAACAAGGAUUCCCUUAGUAACGGCGAGUGAAGCGGGAAGAGCUCAAAUUUGAAAUCUUCAAGGUUUUACCUUGACGAAUUGUAGUUUAAAGAAGUGUUUUCUGUUGAAGUUUUGGUAAAAGUUCUUUGGAAUAGGACAUCAUAGAGGGUGAGAAUUCCGUAUUUGGUCAUUCCUCCUAGCGUUGUGAUACACUUUCAACGAGUCGGAUUGUUUGGGAAUGCAGUCCAAAAUGGGUGGUAAAUUUCAUCUAAAGCUAAAUAUUGGCGAGAGACCGAUAGCGAACAAGUACCGUGAGGGAAAGAUGAAAAGAACUUUGAAAAGAGAGUUAAACAGUACGUGAAAUUGUCAAAAGGGAAGCGUUUGACACCAGUGUUGUUUUCUCGAAAAUCAAUUAAAAAAGGCCGGAUUUUGUGUUGUAUUGACUUUAUCAGCUUUCUGCACUUUUUUCCUGUCUUUUUUAAUGCACUUUUCGUUUAACAAGUCAACAUCAAUUUCUUUUGUUGUAAAAGGGUCAUUGGAAGGUGGCUUUCUUUUCGGAGAAAGUGUUUAUAGCCUUUGGCCUCUGCAAUCGGAGAGAUUGAGGUCUGCAGCGUAGAUCCUUCGGGGUUAGAUGCAUUUGUGCUAAGCUAUAGCCUUUCAUAGACAACUUGUUGACUAUGAUCAGUCAUGUAGCUUACUCGCUUAUGUCAUUUUACCUACGCUUAGGAUGUUGAAGAUGUAGCACAUCAU
rnacentral:rRNA from 1 species